UACAGAGGGUGCAAACGUUGUUCGGAAUUACUGGGCGUAAAGCGCGUGUAGGCUGCUCUGCAAGUCGGAUGUGAAAGCCCUGGGCUCAACCUAGGAAGUGCAUUCGAAACUGCAGAGCUGGAGUCCUGGAGAGGAAGGCGGAAUUCUCGGUGUAGAGGUGAAAUUCGUAGAUAUCGAGAGGAACACCGGUGGCGAAGGCGGCCUUCUGGACAGUGACUGACGCUGAGACGCGAAAGCGUGGGGAGCAAACAGG
rnacentral:rRNA from 1 species